rnacentral:rRNA from 1 species
GCAAGUCGAACGGGGUCGAUUGGUAGCUUGCUUUGAAUGACCUAGUGGCGGACGGGUGAGUAACACGUGAGCAAUCUGCCCUUAAGAGGGGAUAGCAGUUGGAAACGACUGAUAAUACCGCAUAAGAUAGUAGUACCGCAUGGUACAGCUAUAAAAGAUUUAUCGCUUAAGGAUGAGCUCGCGUCUGAUUAGCUAGUUGGUGAGGUAACGGCUCACCAAGGCAACGAUCAGUAGCCGGACUGAGAGGUUGGACGGCCACAUUGGGACUGAGACACGGCCCAGACUCCUACGGGAGGCAGCAGUGGGGAAUAUUGCACAAUGGAGGGAACUCUGAUGCCAGCGAUGCCGCGUGAGGGAAGAAGGUUUUAGGAUUGUAAACCUCUGUUGACAGGGACGAUAAUGACGGUACCUGUUGAGGAAGCUCCGGCUAACUACGUGCCAGCAGCGGC